rnacentral:tRNA from 1 species
AAGAGCAUAGUUUAAUGGUAAAAUUCGAAGCUUCAAACUUUGUGUUCUCAGUUCAAUUCUGAGCUCUUG